rnacentral:rRNA from 1 species
UUCCGGUUGAUCCUGCCGGACCUGACUGCUAUCGGAUUGAUACUAAGCCAUGCGAGUCAUUGUAGCAAUACAAGGCAUACGGCUCAGUAACGCGUAGUCAACCUAACCUAUGGACGGGAAUAACCUCGGGAAACUGAGAAUAAUGCCCGAUAGAACAUUAUGCCUGGAAUGGUUUAUGUUCCAAAUGAUUUAUCGCCGUAGGAUGGGACUGCGGCCUAUCAGUUUGUUGGUGAGGUAAUGGCCCACCAAGACUAUUACAGGUACGGGCUCUGAGAGGAGUAGCCCGGAGAUGGGUACUGAGACACGGACCCAGGCCCUAUGGGGCGCAGCAGGCGAGAAAACUUUGCAAUGUGCGAAAGCACGACAAGGUUAAUCCGAGUGAUUUGUGCUAAACGAAUCUUUUGUUAGUCCUAGAAACACUAACGAAUAAGGGGUGGGCAAGUUCUGGUGUCAGCCGCCGCGGUAAAACCAGCACCUCAAGUGGUCAGGAUGAUUAUUGGGCCUAAAGCAUCCGUAGCCGGCUCUGUAAGUUUUCGGUUAAAUCUGUACGCUCAACGUACAGGCUGCCGGGAAUACUGCAGAGCUAGGGAGUGGGAGAAGUAGACGGUACUCGGUAGGAAGUGGUAAAAUGCUUUGAUCUAUCGAUGACCACCUGUGGCGAAGGCGGUCUACUAGAACACGUCCGACGGUGAGGGAUGAAAGCUGGGGGAGCAAACCGGAUUAGAUACCCGGGUAGUCCCAGCUGUAAACUAUGCAAACUCAGUGAUGCAUUGGCUUGUGGCCAAUGCAGUGCUGCAGGGAAGCCGUUAAGUUUGCCGCCUGGGAAGUACGUACGCAAGUAUGAAACUUAAAGGAAUUGGCGGGGGAGCACCACAAGGGGUGAAGCCUGCGGUUCAAUUGGAGUCAACGCCGGG